rnacentral:misc_RNA from 1 species
GUGAAUCAUCAAAUCUUUGAACGCAAAUUGCACUCUCCGGUUUUCCGGGAGAGUAUGCCUGUUUGCGGGUCAGCCUAUAUAAAACCGGGUUAGUAGUUCGUUGUGUUUUUAACGGUAGCGUUGGUCGGAACUUGGGUUCUCUUAAACCGAUAGGAUUUUAAGCGUCUUAAAAUUUCGUUAC